UGGACUGCAAGGAAAGUGUUUAAAAUCAUGUUCUGGUUAUGGACAACCAAGGAAUGAUUUUGGACCUUUGGGGUGUUAUACUAAUUAUGGAUAUACAUGUUGCGUUAAAACAGCAGAAACAACAACCACAACUACUACUACAACUACUACUACCACAGCUGCUACAACAAAACAACCAACAACAACCACACUACCAACAACCGCGUUACCAGUUGAAAUACCAUGCGGUGUACGAUCAAACCCUAAUACCAACCUUGGUAGAAUUCUUGGAGGAUUUCAAACAUCGCCAUGUGAUUGGCCAUGGCUGGUUUCUGUUCGUGGGAAGACAUCAACCACUUCUACUGAAACAGUUCCUUAUUGUAGUGGAGUCCUGAUUGAUGAUCUGUGGGUUGUUACCACUGCAUACUGUGCCUUAAUAUCAUCAUUUCAAACCCCUAAUGGAGGGGCAUCGACAGACAGUUUAUCUGUGGUUGCUGGGGAGUAUAAUACUGAUGUGCCUGAUAUUGUAUCUAAUAAUCCCAUAGAUACAACGUUCGGGGUCUCCAAUAUAAUCAUCCAUGAAAACUAUUACAAAACAGACCCAACACUGUUUACCAUCAAUGAUGUAUUUAAUAAUACACUGGAUAAGGAAUCAUACAACAUUGCCCUACUCAAAUUACAGAGACCAGCAACUUUUGGAAAAUGUGUGCGUAAAGUUUGUCUUCCGUCUGUGCAAACGACGUGUUCACUUACGAAGACUUGUAUGAUAGCUGGGUGGGGCGUGAAUAA